AGCAUCACAUUGUGUAUGUACUACAACACCAUUCAAUUUCGAAGUAUUAAGUACCUGACUUGAGGUGCGUAUUGGUACAAGUGUGACACCGCCGUAGGCCGGGAAAUCCCCGAAAAAGCCAACGCCUAAACAAUCUUGAUCGCCGCCCGCUACACUUCACCGCUGUUUCGUCUGUCUCCUCUGUAAAGCAUGGAUGAGGCGUGAGUGAGCGUUGGUUAGGGUGCUUAGAUGAUUGCUCUAACUGAUGCCACCCUUCGUAGUGUGAAAGGUGCUGUGUGACCUGUGAGCUGCGUGGUAGUGGAAUGAAUGCUGCGCUAUAGUGGGAGAAGCAGCGGCAUGGGGAAGUGCUGUUUGCUACCUGCCAGUUAGUUGCAGCCGGGCCACACACAAGGAAGGGCGUCCAUUCGCUGUACUCUUGUGUGUUCUUUGUGGCGAAUAAACCAGAAAAGAAGGUGUCCCUGCCUGUCCUUCCUGCCCUGAGUGAGCACCGGAGUCUGACUGUUAAGUCCAGCGCCCAAAAGUGACCUGCGCCCCGUGAACUGAGCGACCCCUACGCGUUGAUGGUCCCGCUGCACAACGACCAUUCCAUUCGCCGCUCCUGCCUGACGUGACGCCGCGUCGGCCCUUCCCGCCACCGCCGCUAUCAUCCGCUCGACGCCUCCCACCACCACCAGCAAUAGCACCAGCAGCAGCCCACUAACCAGGAACGCUGACGACGUGGUGCUGGUGCAGCGUGUGAGGCUGGGCUGCUGCACCAGGGAGGAGCUGCAUGACGGCUUCCAGGGUGAGGAGGGCGGUAAGGGCGCCACCCCCACCUCACUAACACAGCUGCCCGCCACAGCUGCGGCAGCUCAGAGGAUGGAGAGCAAGCAGCUCAUCAUCUCGCCACUCCACCGGCGGCGGGCUGGUGCCUCAUUGGAGUAUUUGAAUGUACAUGUAGUCUGUCAUUGUGUAUAUAUCUAUGUACGUAUGUAUAUCUUGUAGACUAUUGGUCAAUAAACCUUUAACAAGUAA